rnacentral:rRNA from 1 species
AACGCUAGCGACAGGCUUAACACAUGCAAGUCGAGGGCAGCAUGAUUUGUAGCAAUACAGAUUGAUGGCGACCGGCGCGACGGGUGAGUAACGCGUAUGCAACUUACCUAUCAGAGGGGAUAGCCCGGCGAAAGUCGGAUUAAUACCCCAUAAAACAGGGGUCCCGCAUGGGAAUAUUUGUUAAAGAUUCAUCGCUGAUAGAUAGGCAUGCGUUCCAUUAGGCAGUUGGCGGGGUAACGGCCCACCAAACCGACGAUGGAUAGGGGUUCUGAGAGGAAGGUCCCCACAUUGGUACUGAGACACGGACCAAACUCCUACGGGAGGCAGCAGUGAGGAAUAUUGGUCAAUGGCCGAGAGGCUGAACCAGCCAAGUCGCGUGAAGGAAGAAGGAUCUAUGGUUUGUAAACUUCUUUUAUAGGGGAAUAAAGUGGAGGACGUGUCCUUUUUUGUAUGUACCCUAUGAAUAAGCAUCGGCUAACUCCGUG